GGGUCAGUAGGUUGGUCGUGCCACCGGUACGUACUGGUCUCACUGAUUCCUCCUUCCUGAAGAACCGUAAUGCCAUUAAUUUGGUGUUGCGGGGAAUCUGGACUGUUACUUUGAAAAAAUUAGAGUGUUUAAAGCAGGCUAACGCUUGAAUACAUUAGCAUGGAAUAAUGAAAUAGGACGAUCGAUCCUAUUUUGUUGAUUUCUAGGAUUGACGUA
rnacentral:rRNA from 1 species